GACGAACGCUGGCGGCGUGCCUCAAACAUGCAAGUCGAGCGUGGGUGUGUUGCCUCGCAAGAGGUGGCGCACUCUAGCGGCGAACGGGUGCGUAACACGUGGGGAACCUACCCUCCAGACGGGGACAACCUCGGGAAACCGGGGCUAAUACCGGAUACGUUCGCUGGGUCGCAUGGCCCGGCGAGGAAGGGUCGCAAGAUCGCUGGAGGACGGCCCCGCGGCCUAUCAGCUUGUUGGUGAGGUAACGGCCCACCAUGGCGAUGACGGGUAGCUGGCCUGAGGGUGGUCAGCAACACUGGAACUGCGACACGGGCCAGACGCCUACGGGAAGCAGCAGUUGGGAAUCUUGGGCAAUGGGCGCAAGCCUGACCCAGCGACGCCGCGUGGGGGAUGAAGGCCUUCGGGUUGUAAACCCCUGUCAGGAGGGACGAAGCCGCAAGGUGACGGUACCUCCAGAGGAAGCCCCGGCUAACUACGUGCCAGCAGCCGCGGUAAAAC
rnacentral:rRNA from 1 species